rnacentral:rRNA from 1 species
UGGCGGCAGGCCUAACACAUGCAAGUCGAGCGGAUGAGAAGAGCUUGCUCUUCGAUUCAGCGGCGGACGGGUGAGUAAUGCCUAGGAAUCUGCCUGGUAGUGGGGGACAACGUUUCGAAAGGAACGCUAAUACCGCAUACGUCCUACGGGAGAAAGCAGGGGACCUUCGGGCCUUGCGCUAUCAGAUGAGCCUAGGUCGGAUUAGCUAGUUGGUGAGGUAAUGGCUCACCAAGGCGACGAUCCGUAACUGGUCUGAGAGGAUGAUCAGUCACACUGGAACUGAGACACGGUCCAGACUCCUACGGGAGGCAGCAGUGGGGAAUAUUGGACAAUGGGCGAAAGCCUGAUCCAGCCAUGUCGCGUGUGUGAAGAAGGUCUUCGGAUUGUAAAGCACUUUAAGUUGGGAGGAAGGGCAUUAACCUAAUACGUUAGUGUUUUGACGUUACCGACAGAAUAAGCACCGGCUAACUCUGUGCCAGCAGCCGCGGUAAUACAGAGGGUGCAAGCGUUAAUCGGAAUUACUGGGCGUAAAGCGCGCGUAGGUGGUUUGUUAAGUUGGAUGUGAAAGCCCCGGGCUCAACCUGGGAACUGCGUCCAAAACUGGCAAGCUAGAGUACGGUAGAGGGUGGUGGAAUUUCCUGUGUAGCGGUGAAAUGCGUAGAUAUAGGAAGGAACACCAGUGGCGAAGGCGACCACCUG